AGAGCGAACGCUGGCGGCAUGCUUAACACAUGCAAGUCGCACGACGGUUUCGGCCGUAGUGGCGGACGGGUGAGUAACGCGUAGGUAUCUAUCCUUGGGUGGGGGAUAACCGUGGGAAACUGCGGCUAAUACCGCAUGACACCUGUGGGUCAAAGGCGCAAGUCGCCUGGGGAGGAGCCUGCGUACGAUUAGCUAGUUGGUGGGGUAAAGGCCUACCAAGGCUACGAUCGUUAGCUGGUCUGAGAGGAUGAUCAGCCACAUUGGGACUGAGACACGGCCCAAACUCCUACGGGAGGCAGCAGUGGGGAAUAUUGGACAAUGGGCGCAAGCCUGAUCCAGCAAUGCCGCGUGGGUGAAGAAGGUUUUCGGAUUGUAAAGCCCUUUCGGCGGGACGAUGAUGACGGUACCGCAGAAGAAGCCCCGGCUAACUUCGUGCCAGCAGCCGC
rnacentral:rRNA from 1 species